UACGAAGGGGGCUAGCGUUGUUCGGAAUUACUGGGCGUAAAGCGCGCGCAGGCGGUCUUCCAAGUCAGUGGUGAAAGCCCGGAGCUCAACUCCGGAACUGCCUUCGAUACUGGGAGUCUCGAGUUCGGGAGAGGUGAGUGGAACUGCGAGUGUAGAGGUGAAAUUCGUAGAUAUUCGCAAGAACACCAGUGGCGAAGGCGGCUCACUGGCCCGAUACUGACGCUGAGGUGCGAAAGCGUGGGGAGCAAACAGG
rnacentral:rRNA from 1 species